rnacentral:rRNA from 1 species
GGGACACGUGGUAUCCUGUCUGAAUAUGGGGGGACCAUCCUCCAAGGCUAAAUACUCCUGACUGACCGAUAGUGAACCAGUACCGUGAGGGAAAGGCGAAAAGAACCCCGGCGAGGGGAGUGAAAAAGAACCUGAAACCGUGUACGUACAAGCAGUGGGAGCCUCUUAAUGGGGUGACUGCGUACCUUUUGUAUAAUGGGUCAGCGACUUAUAUUCUGUAGCAAGGUUAACCGAAUAGGGGAGCCGAAGGGAAACCGAGUCUUAACUGGGCGUUAAGUUGCAGGGUAUAGACCCGAAACCCGGUGAUCUAGCCAUGGGCAGGUUGAAGGUUGGGUAACACUAACUGGAGGACCGAACCGACUAAUGUUGAAAAAUUAGCGGAUGACUUGUGGCUGGGGGUGAAAGGCCAAUCAAACCGGGAGAUAGCUGGUUCUCCCCGAAAGCUAUUUAGGUAGCGCCUCGUGAAUUCAUCUCCGGGGGUAGAGCACUGUUUCGGCAAGGGGGUCAUCCCGACUUACCAACCCGAUGCAAACUGCGAAUACCGGAGAAUGUUAUCACGGGAGACACACGGCGGGUGCUAACGUCCGUCGUGAAGAGGGAAACAACCCAGACCGCCAGCUAAGGUCCCAAAGUCAUGGUUAAGUGGGAAACGAUGUGGGAAGGCCCAGACAGCCAGGAUGUUGGCUUAGAAGCAGCCAUCAUUUAAAGAAAGCGUAAUAGCUCACUGGUCGAGUCGGCCUGCGCGGAAGAUGUAACGGGGCUAAACCAUGCACCGAAGCUGCGGCAGCGACACUAUGUGUUGUUGGGUAGGGGAGCGUUCUGUAAGCCUGUGAAGGUGGCCUGUGAGGGUUGCUGGAGGUAUCAGAAGUGCGAAUGCUGACAUAAGUAACGAUAAAGCGGGUGAAAAGCCCGCUCGCCGGAAGACCAAGGGUUCCUGUCCAACGUUAAUCGGGGCAGGGUGAGUCGACCCCUAAGGCGAGGCCGAAAGGCGUAGUCGAUGGGAAACAGGUUAAUAUUCCUGUACUUGGUGUUACUGCGAAGGGGGGACGGAGAAGGCUAUGUUGGCCGGGCGACGGUUGUCCCGGUUUAAGCGUGUAGGCUGGUUUUCCAGGCAAAUCCGGAAAAUCAAGGCUGAGGCGUGAUGACGAGGCACUACGGUGCUGAAGCGACAAAUGCCCUGCUUCCAGGAAAAGCCUCUAAGCAUCAGGUAACAUCAAAUCGUACCCCAAACCGACACAGGUGGUCAGGUAGAGAAUACCAAGGCGCUUGAGAGAACUCGGGUGAAGGAACUAGGCAAAAUGGUGCCGUAACUUCGGGAGAAGGCACGCUGAUAUGUAGGUGAAGCGACUUGCUCGUGGAGCUGAAAUCAGUCGAAGAUACCAGCUGGCUGCAACUGUUUAUUAAAAACACAGCACUGUGCAAACACGAAAGUGGACGUAUACGGUGUGACGCCUGCCCGGUGCCGGAAGGUUAAUUGAUGGGGUUAGCGGUAACGCGAAGCUCUUGAUCGAAGCCCCGGUAAACGGCGGCCGUAACUAUAACGGUCCUAAGGUAGCGAAAUUCCUUGUCGGGUAAGUUCCGACCUGCACGAAUGGCGUAAUGAUGGCCAGGCUGUCUCCACCCGAGACUCAGUGAAAUUGAACUCGCUGUGAAGAUGCAGUGUACCCGCGGCAAGACGGAAAGACCCCGUGAACCUUUACUAUAGCUUGACACUGAACAUUGAGCCUUGAUGUGUAGGAUAGGUGGGAGGCUUUGAAGUGUGGACGCCAGUCUGCAUGGAGCCGACCUUGAAAUACCACCCUUUAAUGUUUGAUGUUCUAACGUGGGCCCCUUACCGGGGUUGCGGACAGUGUCUGGUGGGUAGUUUGACUGGGGCGGUCUCCUCCUAAAGAGUAACGGAGGAGCACGAAGGUUGGCUAAUCCUGGUCGGACAUCAGGAGGUUAGUGCAAUGGCAUAAGCCAGCUUGACUGCGAGCGUGACGGCGCGAGCAGGUGCGAAAGCAGGUCAUAGUGAUCCGGUGGUUCUGAAUGGAAGGGCCAUCGCUCAACGGAUAAAAGGUACUCCGGGGAUAACAGGCUGAUACCGCCCAAGAGUUCAUAUCGACGGCGGUGUUUGGCACCUCGAUGUCGGCUCAUCACAUCCUGGGGCUGAAGUAGGUCCCAAGGGUAUGGCUGUUCGCCAUUUAAAGUGGUACGCGAGCUGGGUUUAGAACGUCGUGAGACAGUUCGGUCCCUAUCUGCCGUGGGCGCUGGAGAACUGAGGGGGGCUGCUCCUAGUACGAGAGGACCGGAGUGGACGCAUCACUGGUGUUCGGGUUGUCAUGCCAAUGGCACUGCCCGGUAGCUAAAUGCGGAAGAGAUAAGUGCUGAAAGCAUCUAAGCACGAAACUUGCCCCGAGAUGAGUUCUCCCUGACUCCUUGAGAGUCCUGAAGGAACGUUGAAGACGACGACGUUGAUAGGCCGGGUGUGUAAGCGCAGCGAUGCGUUGAGCUAACCGGUACUAAUGAACCGUGAGGCUUAACCUU